UCCCUGGUGGUCCAGUGGUUAGGACUCUGCCCUUCCAUGGCAGGGAGCACAGGUUCGAUCCCUGGUCGGGGAA